UACGUAGGUGGCGAGCGUUAUCCGGAAUUAUUGGGCGUAAAGAGCGCGCAGGUGGUUGAUUAAGUCUGAUGUGAAAGCCCACGGCUUAACCGUGGAGGGUCAUUGGAAACUGGUCGACUUGAGUGCAGGAGAGGUAAGUGGAAUUCCUAGUGUAGCGGUGAAAUGCGUAGAUAUUAGGAGGAACACCAGUGGCGAAGGCGGCUUACUGGACUGUAACUGACACUGAGGCUCGAAAGCGUGGCGAGCAAACAGGAUUAGAUACCCU
rnacentral:rRNA from 1 species